rnacentral:rRNA from 1 species
CACGCAGGCGGUUUUUAAGUCAGAUGUGAAAGGUACCGGCUCAACCGGUGACAUGCAUUUGAAACUGAAAGACUUGAGUAUUGGAGAGGCAAGUGGAAUUCCUAGUGUAGCGGUGAAAUGCGUAGAUAUUAGGAGGAACACCGGUGGCGAAGGCGGCUUGCUGGACAAAUACUGACGCUGAGGUGCGAAAGCGUGGGGAGCAAACA